rnacentral:lncRNA from 1 species
GCUGGCCCUGCGAACGAACGAGCACUGUUCGUGGUUAGAAAAGCGAAGUGCUGUAAAAACCCGGGCCUUCACGAAAAGCGCCUACGGUUAGCGAGAGAGGGAUCACGGGGAGAGGCGAAGGGGCGGAGCGAGGGCGGCCGGAAAAGGAGCAGGACCCGCGCCUGGAGAAGGUAGGGAGGCCGAGCUCCAGGGCCUGAGAGCCGGACGCGAAGCAAGAGAGAGCUGGCUGCCCGAGGGCCCGGUUGCAAUGAUGGGACGCGCACUUUAAUACUGAGUCUUUCCUCUGAUUAUAAAAAUGCUAUCUGUUCGUUAAGCAACAUUUGAAAGCUGUAUGACCAAAUAAAGAAGCACUUUUAUACCGCCAGUUAUCACACCACUAGCCUGUUGGCUUUCCCGUCCAAAUUUUAAAAUAUGCAAUUUUUUUCUUUGGAAAUUCUGAUCAUUCGGUAUAUGCUGUUUUAUAGCUCUUUUUCAUGGAAUAUUAUUUUGUGAGCAUUUCCUCGUGUUUUCCAAUAGCCUUCAAAGUCAGUGCCUUCGCUGCUCAUUGUCGCACACCUAAGCAGCAAGUCAUUAUUGUACUUUGUGGUUGGAUAUCGUGUGUGUGCACGCGCGCUGCAAGCGCACUUUCAGGCACUUCUUAGUCCCUAUCUCUGACUCUUUUCCGAGUCUUUUUCUAGAGAUGUCCAUCACAGUGUUUGCCCGUUCACGCCGCUAGUCUUUUGCAAGGGAAACCGCCCCAUUGGAGCAGCUAUGGGUGAGCUGUCCCUUUUUAGCCUUAGCCUCAGCUGAUUGGACCAGGGAGGUCAUCUGAUCCCAGGGCAGCCAAUCCAUAGACUGGCCAAAAACCUCUUACUUGCGUCGUUUGGAAAGGUAAUUUAACCAAUCAAGAGUUCAAACAAGGAAAUGCUGAGAGUCAACAGGUGGUGUUGCCAGAAGGUGACUGGGCUGUAGAAACGAAAUAAGACAGUCCUAUGGUAAAGAAAAGCUAGAGCGGAAAGGAGGGGAACCAAGUCCUGUGAAUAGAGGUAGCACCCUGAGAAACCCAUGUCAUCCCAAGGGUGCCCAAACCCAUAGCUGCCCCCAGGUCUGUGCACUUAAGGCUGGGAUGCUUAGACUUUCCUGGGUUUCUGUCUCUGUAUAGCCUCUUAAUGUUUCUUGAGAUAAUUUGAAUGAUUUUACUUUCAUCUACAAUAACCCAACUGAUUGGGCAGGUUCUUAUGGGUAGAAUUACAUGGUCAAAAAUAGGAACAUAUUUAAGUUGUUGAUAUCUUAAAUUUCCUUUGAAAAAUAUAAAUUUAUAUCCCAACAAUUCAUGAGUAAACGUCAUCUUGAUCUAUCGUCUGUGCUAACUUUGACAGAGAAGCUUAAAGUGCAACAUUAGGAACACCCAGCUCCCACUGAUUGUUCUGUCAACACUCAACUCCAUCUCAAAUGAGGCCAGCUCAGACACCAGGGAUCCAGCCUGAUCCCGUGGUGAACCCAAAUUCUUGGCAGGUUCUGUUUCUUCAGCUCUGCCUCCAAGAACAGACUGCUGCCAGCUGACACUGAUCACCUGAUUUCAUGCUCUUUUGCAGCUGGUUUUACACUAGGACCUUUGCCUUGUCUUGGAACGUGUUUCUCGUCCAAUCAAGACCUCACUAAGCUUAACAUUGUAAUCAGUCCCAACUUUAGUGUGUUUGCAAUCCAAAAUUGACAACAAAGAGUAACAUCUAGAGGAAGUAAUUCCUUUAUUACCACCUCACUGUUGAUCUCCGAGUAUGCAAAUUCUAUUUAUGAUGUUGACAGCUGCUGAGCUCUGCGUCAGAAACAAAAUGUGUCCAACUCCCGAUUGUCCACCCCUUUUUUCCUUGGACAUGCCUUAGGGCAGUAAAGAUUAUACAUAAACUAGACAUAGGUGACUCACUUUCCCCUUAAUUCCCUUACAACACCUUCCACCUUCACAUAAUAUGCUCAAAUAAAUAUAUAAGGAGUGCAAUGUCCAUGAAAAUUAUUUGCUUUAUUCACCUUUGACUAUGUCUUAUCCCACCUUGCAACACAGGCAUGACACUAAGUUAUCACAAGUUUUGAUUCUUUGCAUUUGCCUUUUUUUUUUGCUUUAUUGUGCACACUUCACAGGUACGUAUUUGACUUUUAACCAAAUAAUUUGCACAGGUGUGAUUUUAAAGUAACAACAACUUGUAAAUAGUUGCAUGGAUAAUGGCAAAAACUUUAGUACAGAGUUCAGAGUCUCAUUUGAUCAUUGGAUAACAUUUGGCAAUGCAGUAAAACAUAUUACAACUCAUGUGAAAUGCAAAUCAAAACCUCAAUGAAAUUCUAUUUUAUGCCUUCCACAUUGGCAAAAAUAAAAAACACAUUAUCAAAUAUUGGAUAGGAUUUGGAACAACUGCCAACAGGAGUGUAAAUCACUAUAACCUCCUUGGAAAACAAUUUGGCAUUGUCUCUUAAAGCUAAUAUGCCUAUGAUCUGACAGUUCCUUUCCCAGGUGUAUCCCCUGAAGAAAGUUUUGCACAAGUGUACCAGGAAAGAAGUAAAGUGAUGUUCACAGCAGAACUAUUUAUGUAGCAAAAAGAUGGGACUAACCCAAAUGUCCAUCCAUCCAUACAUAGAUGAGUUGUGUAAUAGUAUAGUCAUACCAUGUUGUACAAGAGAAAGCUGGUGGCUCAAAUGAUAACACUGAGUUUGUUCCUGUGUUAGGACAAUAUAUGAAGAGCUUAGUGAAGUUUGAUUGGAACUGAAAAACAUCAGUAUGAAAGCAUCAAGUGGAUAAAUCUCAGAAACAUAAUCUCUAGAGGAACAAGCAAAUCACAGAGAAAUACCUACAGUGUGAUUCCAUUGAUAUAAAGUCAAAGGCAGGGAAAACCAACAGUAUCUUGUGUAGGAAUAUGGACAUCUCUGAUAAAACAAUGAAGAACAAGUGAAUAAUUAUCACAAAAUUCAGCAUAAUGGUGACCACCUCUAGAGGAGGACAGAAGAGGGUAGCAUUGGAGCCUUCUCUUACGUUGGAUAGCACAUUCAUGUAUGUUAAUUUUACUACUCUUCUUUAGAGCUAACAUAUAUUUUAUAAAUAUCAUUUUUUAUCUGUCUUAUAUUUAAUAAAAACACAUUUUUAAAACCUGUAUGCAUUACUGCCAUCUGUUAGCACAUUUGAUAUUAACAUCCUCAUUGUGGUAUCACUAUAAUCUCAAGAUUUUUCUACAGGUUCAGCUUGUUUGUGUUGUUUGUCUGGUU